rnacentral:rRNA from 1 species
GAUGAACGCUGGCGGCGUGCCUAAUACAUGCAAGUCGAGCGAACAGACGAGGAGCUUGCUCCUCUGACGUUAGCGGCGGACGGGUGAGUAACACGUGGAUAACCUACCUAUAAGACUGGGAUAACUUCGGGAAACCGGAGCUAAUACCGGAUAAUAUAUUGAACCGCAUGGUUCAAUAGUGAAAGACGGUUUUGCUGUCACUUAUAGAUGGAUCCGCGCCGCAUUAGCUAGUUGGUAAGGUAACGGCUUACCAAGGCAACGAUGCGUAGCCGACCGGAGAGAGUGAUCGGCCACACUGGAACUGAGACACGGUCCAGACUCCUACGGGAGGCAGCAGUAGGGAAUCUUCCGCAAUGGGCGAAAGCCUGACGGAGCAACGCCGCGUGAGUGAUGAAGGUCUUCGGAUCGUAAAACUCUGUUAUUAGGGAAGAACAAAUGUGUAAGUAACUAUGCACGUCUUGACGGUACCUAAUCAGAAAGCCACGGCUAACUACGUG